rnacentral:lncRNA from 1 species
UCUUUUACUUCAUCAGCGGUCAUCAGAAGGAAAGGUAACUAAAUAAGUUCAAAGAACUUAGUUAGUCCCAGAGCAAACAUCUCAAUAGCUAUAUAUGACAUCAAUAAACCUUUCCAACUUAGCAAGUCAUACAAUUCGCCCAUUGGCGAAUACCAUACACAUAUAGACUUUACUACACACACCAUUCCUUUGGCACAGACACUAUGCCCAUGCAACCUUGCAAACAACCUUCUUCAUGCUAGCCAUACCCAAGUCCAUGAUCAAGUCUUAGCAUUUAU